rnacentral:RNase_P_RNA from 2 species
CGAGCCGGGCGGACGGCCGCGUCAAGAUCUUCGAUCUUGCCGAGGAACGUCCGGGCUCCAUACGGCAGGGUGGUGGGUAACGCCCACCCGGGGUGACCCGCGGGAAAGUGCCACAGAAAACAGACCGCCGGGGAUUUCGGUCCCCGGUAAGGGUGAAACGGUGGUGUAAGAGACCACCAGCGACCGAGGUGACUCGGCCGGCUAGGUAAACCCCACCCGGAGCAAGGUCAAGAGGGGCCACCGAGAGGCGGCCCUGCGCGGACGACUGAGGGCUGCCCGCCCGAUGUCCGCGGGUAGACCGCACGAGGCCGGCGGCAACGCCGGUCCUAGAUGGAUGGCCGUCUCCCCGGCCGCCGCGAGGCGACCGGGCGACAGAACCCGGCGUACAGCCCGACUCGUCUG